CUGAGUCAGCUGGGGCACCCCUGCCAUUCGCUCUCACUGUGGGGCUGGGUGUCCCUGCACUGUGGAACAAGGGCAGGUCGUGUCUUCCCAGAAGGCCCAGCACGGGUGAAGAUUCGGGGGCAGAUUUAUACCAACAUACACUGGCCUAUACAUUGGAUAUGUGCAGGUUCCCAUUCGUUUCCUGGGGAGCCAUGUGUCCCUGAGACCAGAGAGUCUCCUCACCUAGCUCAGACUUGAAUGCUUUUGUUUUUGUUUCAGGGCAUUUGCACGUCAAAGGCAAAGAAGAAAAAAUGUCCAAAUCAUUAAAAAACUACAUUACUAUUAAGCCAUCGACUACAGCGACAGCGCCAUGCUCCAAGCUCAGCAGCUGCUCCUGGGACUGGGCUCUUUCCUGGAGGACGCACGUGCCUAUAUGAAGGGGCAGCUGGCCUGCGGCUCCGUCAGGGAAGCGAUGCUGUGGGAGAGGCUCUCCAGCACCAAGAGGGCCGUGAAGGCGGCCUUGGCAGAUGACUUUGACACACCCAGGGUGGUUGAUGCUAUCCUGGGCCUUGCACACCACGGGAAUGGACAGCUCAGGGCGUCCCCGAAGGAACCCGGAGGGCCGAGAAGUCCUGCUGUGUUUGGUGCCAUCAUCUCUUACUUUGAACAGUUUUUUGAAACUGUUGGAAUUUCUCUGGCAAAUCAACAGUUGGCAAACUCUUGUGCGCAGAACCAGAGAUGAGUCCAUCUCAGCAACAGUGUCGCCAGCUCUGCACACACAUUUAUGUUGAAAGACUCUCAGAAUGUGCAGAAGUCACAGGCACAGUAAGAGAACAUUUUUUCCUGACCCAUUUGAGGGCAAGUUGGCGGCCUGAGCCCCCUUGCCUGGCGCAUGUUUCAUACGGACAGGACGGGCUCCCCGACAAGCACGAGUCACCUGCACCUUCCCAGCAAGGCUCACCCUGGCUGUGCAGUGAAGGUGGACGCUGCCAGGCUUCUCCACAUUCCUUCUCUUCCCUUGUAACUCAAGAGCAUUUUUGCAAAGAGACUUGGAUCCUAUGAAAAUGUCCCCUUCCUUACCAGGCUCACCUGGAACUCGUUUAUUGUAUCAAUACAGAUUUGAGGUUUCCUGCCUUAUUCUUAAAGUCCCCCACCAUCACUUUGUAUGUGGCUGACGGAGGCCCCUUGGAGCUGGCGCUGUGUCCCUGAACAUCCCUGUCAUUCUUUGCACACCCUUGUAGAAUUCUCAGCACAAGGCACUCUGGCUCUUUUGGGGUGUGGCUCAGCUGCUGCUGCCUGGACGGGGGAUGCCACUCUAGACCAGCUGCCCGGCACCCCGAGGGUCCCGCUGCUUGGGACAGGGGCCCAAGCAGGUGUGCUGGAGGCCUGGCUCCAGGCCAAACACAUCUCACUGGCUCUCAACAGAGAACUAUAGUGUCUUUUCCAAGUUUGGCUCAUUUGUAUACCUGUUAAUCACCUGGUAGACUUAGCUCCCCUUUCCGGCAGUCCGGCAUCUGUUGCCAAUCACAUAAAAGUCGACUGGUGUGAGAUGACCAAGUUUUUGCAAUGUACAUGUUCAUUUUUAGGGGUGGCUUCCCAGAGUCUGUUUUGAGUAAGAAAAGUGGGAUCUGGCCAAGCUCUGCCUAGCCCUUGUCAAAGAUAUCUCAUUCACCUUCCUCCAGCCACAAGGCCCAAUGUCUGAGCCCACUCUGGACUCAUUUUUGUAAUAACAAAAAUUGUCUUUUAUUGUGGAAGCAAUAACUGAGGGGUGUAUGAGGUUUAAGUAGUUUGACACCAAGGAAAAAUGUGUCUGUUUCUUAUUUUACACACAUGGAUUUAACAAAUAGGUACAGCUGCCCCUUCCACACUGUCCCAGGAUCUAUUCUCAGUGGGAGGACAGCGCGAGGCCUUCUGCGCAAAUCCCGUCCUCAGCACCUGAGGCUGUGAAUCUCAGACCAUUUGCCGAAAUACGCGUGUGCAAGCGCUCAGUCGCUGCCCCUCAGCCUCAUCCUCAGGUUGCUCGAUACCUCGGCCACAAUUGCGUGGGGUCUGGAACCCAGGGAGCGCUUGUGUUCAGGGCGGGGUGGGGUGCAGCCCCCAGCCCUUCCUUCCAACUCCUGAGCAUCACGCAGCCUUGCUUGAACGACAGAUGCUCAGAGUUGAGAGUGGAGACUUGCCCAGAGCCCAGCGCUUGCGGGCUGUACCCAUCCCUGCCAGACCCAGAAAGAGGCCCAGCUGGGCUGGGUGGGUCUCGGCCCAGAGCCCAACCACGGGGUGGGGAGGGAGGCAUCCACAGUCUCCAGGGGAUGUAACCGUGCCCUGCUGGCUUCAGUGCGUUUCAGGAGACGGCAGCGAGGCUACCUUGCAUGGUGUGGUGGACGAGCUGGUGCGGUUCCGGCAGAAGGUCCGGCAGUUUGUGCUGGCCAUGCCCGAGGCCACGGGGGACGCCCGGCGGCAGCAGCUCCUAGAAAGGCAGCCCCUGCUGGAGGCAUGCGACACCCUGCGCCGGGGCCUGACUGCCCACGGCAUCAACAUCAAGGACAGAAGCAGUACAACAUCCACGUGGGAACUGCUGGAUCAAAGGACAAAAAAACAAAAAUCAGCGGGCUGAGGAUGGAGCACAGCCACGAACCUGCUCACGACAAGACGCACCCAUGCUCCUCACAGUCAAGGCUUUAUGUUAAAGCUUCCUGUCGGGGCUGCUAGGUCAGCAUUAAAGUAAGGCAACCAA
rnacentral:sRNA from 1 species